rnacentral:tRNA from 1 species
GGCGACGUAGCAUAAAAAUAAAUGCCCUUCACUUACACUGAAGAAGAUCUUUGCCUAAAAGCGUCUCCU